CUCAGUGCCGUAACUCUUCUGUUCUGGGCGAUACCAAGUUCAAUUUUAACGAAGCUCUUUUAGUUCCAAGAAACAGACACAGCCAGACCAGUCUGAAAAUUUUUAUUUUCUGAAAAAUGUAACUUGUAAGAACACACGUAGAGCAAAAGGGAGAAACUUGGAAAUUUUUACGCAAGUAAGCCAGGCUGAACCUCCUAAUGCAUGAGGACUGGGCUGGUCCUUGUUUCACAGGGUGGACUCUAGAGUCGUCCUUGCAUCCCAGAAUUUGAGACCUAAUCCAUGAUUAAUCUUGAAACUGCUCCAGUGUGUUUGAGAGAACAGGCAUUCUCUAACUGACGCAAAGUUAAAACACCUAAGUAAAACCAUUCUUGAAAGGACACAUGAACAAAUUGAACCAGUCAGAGGGGAAAGAUCAGGAUGAUGAAGUGACUCAGAAAUCAGAUUAUUCUCUGAAGGACAUACUUAAAACUAAAAGAUGUUGGAUCUCCAAUAUGAAUUUGUGAUGUCCCUCUUCAUGGAGAGCUGCCUGAAGCUGAGAAGGGUGCGACGGACCUGAAGGCUGCACAGCGCCGGGUCUUACCCAAGGCUCAAGGUGACCGCUGCCUGGUUUCUGCUGGUGUUUAUUCAAAGCCCAAGGGCUCUCCAGUCAGCAAGUGGUGAAUCUAGUCAGACAUGUGUCCUACGCUUCAGGGCAAUGAGCUUCCCCUCAGCCUAAGAUUCCAUUAUGACAUUAGUCUCUGGUCACAAUUAUCUGAAGCCUUGCAGGAUGCACCAUUCCACUUCAUCCUGUCUUCAUCACAAGAAGAAAAGUGAGUAAAGUACAAUAAGAUAUUUAGAGAGAAA
rnacentral:lncRNA from 1 species